GCCUUCGUGGCGUAGUUGGUUAUCGCGUAGGUCUCAUAUUUACUAUGACUCAAUCUGAAGAUUGGGCAAUCCUAAGGCCGCCAGUUCGAGUCUGGCCGGGGGCA
rnacentral:tRNA from 1 species